GAAUAUGGGGGGACCAUCCUCCAAGGCUAAAUACUCCUGACUGACCGAUAGUGAACCAGUACCGUGAGGGAAAGGCGAAAAGAACCCCGGCGAGGGGAGUGAAAAAGAACCUGAAACCGUGUACGUACAAGCAGUGGGAGCCCCACCACCAAAGCAUUCUCUGGUGUUGAAGGCCCUGCAAAGCAGCAUCGCGGUGGCGGAGCGUCGUUUGCGACGCCCAACACACAAAACAAGCGGUGAGUGCUUUGGGGUGGGGUGACUGCGUACCUUUUGUAUAAUGGGUCAGCGACUUAUAUUCUGUAGCAAGGUUAACCGUAUAGGGGAGCCGUAGGGAAACCGAGUCUUAACCGGGCGUUAAGUUGCAGGGUAUAGACCCGAAACCCGGUGAUCUAGCCAUGGGCAGGUUGAAGGUUGGGUAACACUAACUGGAGGACCGAACCGACUAAUGUUGAAAAAUUAGCGGAU
rnacentral:rRNA from 1 species